UGUCAUAACAGAAUGCUCAUGUGGGUUCUGGAGGGACACAAUCCAGUCUAUCGCACCCAGAAGUUCUCUUCUAACUGGGAACCCUUCCAGUAGCUUGGGUUCCUUGUUCCAGGGAUCUCACUUCAUGUCCUGGGCCAUUUGCUUCUAAUGGAGCUACAAAAGCCAUGUGAAAACUGGACAAACACUAAAGCAGGCACGAUUAAUCCAGGGGCUGCUGGAAGGCCCAGCACUGGGAUCAUCUGAAGACUUGCUCUCCCAGGUCUUGCCAUUGAUGCUAGCUAUCGAGUGAAACCGUCACCGGCGCCAUUGCUGCAACACCUUCAGGAAGCCUCCCUGUGUGGCCUGGGCUUCCUCACGGCAUGCUGGCUCCGUUCCAAUGGAUGGAGCAUGAUUUCAUUGGAAUGGUUGGAAAAGCUUUUCAAUUCCAAGCAGUGACUCAAGGCAUCAUUUGGUACUGCCAGCAUGAAUGAAAAUCGUGCUGGGCUUCUCAUGGGCAGGAUGAUAAGGCACAUAAGCCUGCCAUCCAGCCUGACUUCAUCUGGGUCUUUCACCCUCAUCUUCCAACUCUUAUUACUCUCUGCAAAAGAAGAUGGAAAUAUUCAUGGCUGAAUUGAGUUAAUUAAAGGUAUUUCCCCCUUU